rnacentral:tRNA from 1 species
GGAUUGCUGGAAAUACUGUCCAGAGCUUAUCAGCGCCGGUCUUAAAAACCGGAGAAGGGAAACCUUCCGUGGGUUCGAAUCCCACCCUCUCCG